AGGACGAACGCUGGCGGCGUGCUUAACACAUGCAAGUGGAGCGACGAACCAGGGCUUGCCCUGGGGCAGAGCCGCGAACGGGUGAGUAUCACGUGGGUAACGUACCCCGAUGACUGGGACAACCCGGGGAAACCCGGGCUAAUACCGGAUGUGCCCCCUCACAUCAGUGAGGUGUGUAAAGGAAGCUUCGGCCUCCGCAUCGGGAUCGGCCUGCGGCCCAUUAGCUUGUUGGUGGGGUAAUGGCCUACCAAGGCGACGACGGGUA
rnacentral:rRNA from 1 species